AGUGAACGCUGGCGGUAGGCCUAACACAUGCAAGUCGAACGGCAGCACAGUAAGAGCUUGCUCUUACGGGUGGCGAGUGGCGGACGGGUGAGGAAUACAUCGGAAUCCACUUUUUCGUGGGGGAUAACGUAGGGAAACUUACGCUAUUACCGCAUACGACCUACGGGUGAAAGCAGGGGAUCUUCGGACCUUGCGCGAUUGAAUGAGCCGAUGUCGGAUUAGCUAGUUGGCGGGGUAAAGGCCCACCAAGGCGACGAUCCGUAGCUGGUCUGAGAGGAUGAUCAGCCACACGGGAACUGAGACACGGCACAGACUCCGACGGGAGGCAGCAGUGGGGAAUAUUGCGCAAUGGGCGCAAGCCUGAUCCAGCCAUACCGCGUGAGUGAUGAAGGCCUUCUGGUUGUAAAGCCCUGUUGUUGGGAAAGAAAAACAGCAGGUUUAUACCCCGCUGUUCUGACGGUACCCAAAGAAUAAGCACCGGCUAACUUCGUG
rnacentral:rRNA from 1 species